AAACCAUGGUGUGGGCGACAUCUCAACAAGUCCUUGUACCUCUCCUAUGCAUCAUACAUGCUCUCAUCAUCAAACUGCAUAAAAGAAGAACUAUUAUUACGCAUCUU